AGCUCACUGACUGUGCACAUGCCCUGACGGCCACCUGAAUCUGAGACAGAGUACAGCAUACUUCCCUCAGAACAACUUCUAUCAUGCUGCUGCCAGGCCUGCUGAGAGUAGCCCUGGCUGCCAUCUACCUCAGAUCCAGCAUGACCCAGAAGGUUUGCGUGGCAAAGACCAGGCAGAGCAGAGUCCUUGGACCCUGAGACUCCAGGAUGGAGACAUCGUCAGCCUCAACUGCACUUACCCAGUCAGCUCCUUUAGAGCGCUCUGGUGGUUUAGGCAAGGCCCUAGCAGAGGCCCCAAGCUCCUCUUCCCCCUGUAUUCCAUGGGAGAGGAAAAGCAGCAAGAAAGACUAAGACUAAGAGAAGUUCUCUGCAUACCACAACCUCCAAACCUGAAGACUCAGCUCCUUUCCCUGCACUGUGGAGACCCUGCACCAAAACCCUGGGCUCUGGAAUAAGGCUAUCUCUUGUUUUUCCUCCUCGAACAGGUAUUCACUUAGCACCCAGAACCUCUUUCCAAGAGGUAUUACGAAGAAUGAAAUCUUGUCAUACAGCCAGAUGGCACAGCUUGCUGUAUUCUGCUCAUGCAUCCUAGACAAUCCUCUCUUUGUAACAGCCCAGGAUUUUCCUCAUAGAUUUGGAAGGGAUACCUGUCCUUUGGAGAGCCUUGGUUUCUAGUCUGGCGCCACUUUAAAAGAGGCUGUUCAGGAAUACAUAUGCUGAAAACAUUUUUUUGCUUUCUUUUGUAAUAAUCUGGUCAUAUGUCUGUAAAUGAAUCUUCCCCAUUGUAAUAUAAUCUUCUUGAAGCCCACAUCACCACCAGUCAAGUUUCUACAUUUUUCUUUCCUUAAUAAUCAAAUUAAUUAAAAAUUUGAAAGGCAUCCUUAUUUUCUUUUUCCAGCUGUACAUUCUUUCCUUGAAGGGAUGAGCAGAGGAUUACUCAACUGCCCAAAUGGAGGGAAGAUAUUGCAGUUUGAAAAAAAUGAAUAAAAAGCAGAAACUUUGUUAAUAUUACAAAAAUUGCCCUGUCCCACAUGGGGCAAGACAUUCGGAGACCUCAAACAAAAUUGGUUAAGUUCUUUCUAGAACAUUAUAAGCUUAUUCUCCUCCAUAUCUGUAAAGCAACUUUACAAAAGCAGAUUAGUGGGUUAGCUGGGAUCUGAAUGGAAGCAGGCACAGGUAUUGUCACAAGAGGGACUGCUCUGUCUGUCAAUAACAUCCUUGCUCAGUUGGGGGAAAAGUGGCUGGCUCACAUUCAGCAUUGAAGUUGUGCAGAAACUGUGACAAAUGAUGUAUUUUAUUCUGUUAUAAGCAGAGCAGUCUGUGCAUAGCUUCAAUGCUCAGUGAUUUCUUGCCUUGUCCCAAUCUAGUAUGAAACAAUUCCUUUCUACUCAAAAUAGUAUGACAGAGAGAGGAGGAUGGGAAGCUGCUAUGCAGCUUUCAGUCUUAAUUGAUCUAUUUUUGUCAAUUUUUGUAAUGACAGAGAAAAGUAGAAUUUUUGUGUGUGUGUGUGGGAAGGAAAUUAUUUUACUCAGUCUAUUUCAGUUCUUUUAAAUUUGAAAAGAAAACAAGAGCAAGUUUUCAAGGCUACUCCCCCUGCUUUCUUUCCUCCCUCCUUUCUCUUUCUCUGCCAAUCAGCUCUGUGUGCUGCUACUAGGCACCUGCAUGGAGAAUGGGGAAAGGCCAGUAAUGAACUGGGCUUGUGGAAUAUAAAGACGAGGACCAUUCCAGGUCUUGUUUCCUUUUUAUCAAGAUGUGAAGUCUAUAAAUGCCUUCCUACAGACACAUGAUUCCUAAAGGCAUUUUAGGAGACCAGAUAAUUGAUAAACUUGGUAAUCUUGACUGACUACCUAGAUCAGACUCUGACUUUAACCCUCCCAGUCACUUUGAGCACAUUGCUCCCUGCAUCUGAAACUCAUUUGCUUUUUCUUGUCAUUUAGAUGGACUUGCUCCAUCUUUUCAUGACUGUGUAAGACUUGGUGGUUUUCCUUAAUGUAAAAGAAAAAAUUUUUCUUUGAGGUCCUUGGAACAUCAGAUUACCAAUAAUAUAUUGCUGCUCUUGGAUUGUGAGAAAGCAAUAAGAAAAUUGUUCUGGUUGGAUACUGCCCCUAAGAUUUGUAUUUUUCUCUUUCAGCCUCAUUCUCUUAGAGUUCAAUACUUAUAAAUUAUCCAUACGGAACCCCUUGGUUGAGUGUGGAUGCCUGUUUCAUAUUUUUACCCUGGUUCCAGGGACAUAACUAAGCCUGGGCAGGUGUAUCAACCAAGGAGCUUCUAUCUCAUUGGCUGACUGCAGGCCUGGGGUUGCUCAGAGUGACAGCCACCAAGUGAAGGGCUGUGCUGGCAAUGACUCAGCUGGCAUGUCUUCUCUGUUACCUCCUCAGCCUAGGUUAGGACAGAGGCUGAGCUAUGGGCCCUGGACUCUAGAGUCUGCUUGAAGUAUGAGGCUGGUGAUGGAGGUGUCUGUGCUCCUGACCCUGGGUAAGUGUUCUGAGCCUAAGAAAGUAUGAUGUUUGAAACCAGGCAAUCAGAGGAGGGAUUACUACUGCUGCCACUCAUCUCAUUAAGUUUGCUAGAGUUGUCAUAACAAUACCACAGUCUAGGUCGCUUAAAUAACAGAAACUUACUGCCUGUCAAUUCUGGAGGCUGGAAGUCUGAGAUCAAGGUGUCAGCAGGCCUGGGUCCUUCUGAGGGCUGUGAGAGGAUGGCCUGUUACAGGCUCCUCUCCUUGGCUUGCAGAAGGCCAUCUUCUCCCUGUGUUCCUUCACAUCACCUUCCCUCUAUGCAUGUUUCUGUGUCCAAAUCUCCCUUGUUACAGAAAACACCAGGCAUAUUAGAUUAGGGCUCAUCCUAAUGACCAUAUUAUAACCUGAUCACCUCUGUAAAGACUUUAUCUUCAAAUAAAAUCACAUUCUGCAAUACUGGGGGUUAGAACUUCAGUGUAUGAAAGCAAAAGGGAAACAAUUCACCCAUAAUCCUCGGUGAUCACAGAAGUGCUUUCCCUGCUAUAAAGAAUUUCUUAUAUUCAUUGUGCUCAAGGGAAAAUGGGAGAAAACAAUGGAGUCCUGACUCUUGACAAGUGAAUCUAGAUAAUUCUAGCUGUAUUUUGUUCUUUCUAUAAGAUAGAAAAUCGAAGUAGCAGAUGAGAGUCAGAGAGCAAAGUUCUAGAGGUGUCAUGCAAGGCAAUCCUUAAAAAUAUGCCUUGGAGAUCUGCGAACAAUUGUAUGUAUUUCCCCACUUAUGGAUUAUUUCUAAUGUUAAGAUUAUGGAGCUCAACUAACUCCUUGGACAGGGCUGAAGGACAAGCAGUGAACAUACCCUAUUCCCUCUCCACCAUUAGAGAAAAUGAGUGUGUUAUCUGGGGUUGACAAUUUUUUAACUAAGGCCUACGGUAUCUGAUUUGAGAUUUAAAGAGCAAUGUAACUAGUAAAAUGGCUUCAAGGCCCAAACCUGUGGACAGCAGGUCCUGGACUCUGAUACCGUACCAGGUUCCCCUGGAAGACCCCACUGUGUAUUAUUGCAUCAUGACAGAAGCACAGUGGGGCAGACUGAGCCACAGCUGUGUCUCUGGUGGUGAAGGGUGAUAAUAUCUAUUUAAACAGGAUAUUACACAGCAAAUGUGAGCUUAAUGGAAGAAGGUGGAAAAAAGUAAGAAGAAAGAAAGGGGGCAAAAAAAUAAGGAAAAGCUACAUGAGACCAAGAACUGGACCAGGAAAGAAAACCAGGGAGAAGGAGGAGCCCAGAUACAUGUCCUUUCUCCAAUCUAACAUUCUUAUUCUUGCCAAGGUCCAGUGUGAAGUUCAUAAACUGAAUGUUAUUCCUGUGAGAAAUGUCUUGAGUUCUCUGAAUUUUUUCAGCUGUAACACAUGCAUUCGAGAAAUAGUGUAUCUUGAAAAUUUGCUAGAAAGGAACAACUGUAUUAACAUUUCUCAUUUCAAUGUUUUCUUGAAUUUUCUAUAUAGCCAUUAAGUUCUCUA